rnacentral:rRNA from 1 species
UACGGAGGAGGCAAGCGUUAUCCGGAAUGAUUGGGCGUAAAGCGUCCGUAGGUGGCCAUUCAAGUCUGCUGUCAAAUCCUGAGGCUCAACCUCAGAUCGGCGGUGGAAACUGAAUAGCUAGAGUAUAGUAGGGGUAGAGGGGAUUCCUAGUGUAGCGGUGAAAUGCGUAGAGAUUAGGAAGAACACCAGUGGCGAAGGCGCUCUACUGGGCCGCAACUGACGCUGAGGGACGAAAGCUAGGGGAGCGAAAGGG